CAGUCGCCGCGGUAAUACGUAGGUGGCAAGCGUUGUCCGGAAUUAUUGGGCGUAAAGGGCUCGCAGGCGGUUUCUUAAGUCUGAUGUGAAAGUCCCCGGCUCAACCGGGGAGGGUCAUUGGAAACUGGGAAACUUGAGUGCAGAAGAGGAGAGCGGAAUUCCACGUGUAGCGGUGAAAUGCGUAGAGAUGUAGAGGAACACCAGUGGCGAAGGCGGCUCUCUGGACUGUAACUGACGCUGAGGCGCAAAAGCGUGGGGAGCAAACAGGAUUAGAGACCCCAGUAGUCCCUGUCUCUUAUAA
rnacentral:rRNA from 1 species